GCCAGAUUUGUCAACCUUGUCUCACUCAUGGUUGAGCGAAAGAAUUUUUUUUAUCAAUUUUAAUUUGGAAAAACUUCUUUCACAUGAAGCAAUAGACACACAGAGAGUCAAAAAGAAUCUUAAACACAGUGACAAAUUUGGCAGAGAUUCACAAUAAUCCCAUUUAACAAUGAACUCCAGGAACUGCAAUGCCGUCCAUUUCUUUGCUUCUUCAACAC